CCUUCAUCUCGGUGCUGCAGUCCCCGGUCUCCCUCGCUGGAGCUGGUUCCGUGCGGAGCGUCCCACAGAUGUGAAUUUCCUCUUCGUCCCGGUGGGGUUCGGCGCCUAACUGGAACCAUGUGGCUCGGUGUUGAAAAAGUAUGGCAACCCACUCCAGUACUCUUGCCUGGACAAUCCAUGGAUGGAGAAGCCUGGAUCUAAACAACAUUAUAAACAUUAUAGCUGGAGUGUAAAUUCAACGGCAGCAGUUGGCAAGAGAUGAAGCUGAAGGAACGGUCAGGUGUAAGAACAUAAAGAAGCUGAAAACUAGGUUUGUGCACUGACUGAAGAGUUAAUGAAUAACAAAAAUGUGCAAAACUUCCUCUGCAAACUGGACAGGAUGGCUACUGUCACCCAGAGCUUACAUUGUAAGGGGAGCAAAAAGGGUUGGAGCUUCUUCCUUAGAGCCACGUGGGGGCUACUGAAGUGUUAUGGAAACAGAUUGGGUUUUAGAGCACAGCUCUGCUGCAGUGUAUACCGUGAGCUGGAUGGCGCAAGAGUGAAGAGGAAGCCAAAGCAGUUGUUUGAGCCAAUGACAAGAGCGUGCUAGACCAAGGUAAUAGGCACAGAGAUAUUAAGGAAUGAAAUGAUUUGAGGGUCCCUUGCAAGUGAAAAUAGAUACAAUUUGCUGCUGGAUUAAAUGUGGAUGUGUACACUGGAAAGAGAGAGUAUACCCCCUCAAUGCACCUACAAAGAUAAGCAUAAAAGCAAUGGCAGUAAUGUUGAGUCCUGCCCCAGGCCACAGGUGUGGGGUCUUAUACCAAGGUCACAGAAGCAGAUCCCAGAACCAAGGAUACCUCCAAAAUCAAGCCCCUUUGUAAUAGUUGCCAAAAGCCCCUGAACAUCACUAACAGGCUUCCUGACUCCAAAUUAGGCCAAGAUGCCCACUUCAUGAAACACCCAAAGCUCCCCAAUCACCUAAUGCCAACCUUCCAGCAGGAAUUUUCUUUAUCUCAAGGCUAUAAAAAUUGGCUAUUAACUCAUGAAAACUGUCGAUUCUCCCUGGCCUGUCAGGAGUUGUCAGCCCACUGCGCUCACAGUGCCCACUUUAUCUCUGCUCUUUGUUCUUAAUAAACUCACUCCCUUCUGCAAUACCCUGUGUCUGGAAAUUCUCUUUCAAACUGUGCUCAGAUUGCCCCAACAACUCUUCCCUUGCAUUUUUACAGGUGAUCGCAGUACACGUAAUGGGUAUCUGGCCUCUGGGUAGACACAUCUGGUUCAAAUCCCUCAGACUUCUUUUCUUCCUUCUUCUAGUGAUAUUACUUUGGCCAGGAUAUUUAAUAACCACUCUUAAGUUUUUGCCUUUUCAUCUGUAACAGUGGGAUAAUACAAGUUCAUACCUCAGGUGCUAGUGUUCAGAUAAAGUGAAAUACUGAAUGUAAAUAUGCAAAUACAUUAAUAGAAGGAUUCAGGUUUGUAUAGAGUUAUAUGAGAAUUAUUAGAUGUGCUUCUUGCCUUCAAGUACUUAAGGUGAAAGGAACUACAUAAUUACUUGGAAGUAAAACAGAUAAAUUCAUUUGUAUUUAUUUAAAAGUUGUAUCUAAGUGCCUAUAUAGAGUUAGGUUUAGAUGUUAUUUAUAAGAUUGCAGAUACUUCAAAGGAUGUAGUUUAAGGGGAGACAUUUACCUUAAUAGGCAUAGAGCCUUAGCUAUGUUGAAUGUUUAAUGAAUGCUAAAUAUUUUGCUAGUUACUUUAUAUUCAUUAUUUUAUUAAUUGCUAAAGAAUCCUGUGGCCUAUAUAUCACUUACUCACUGUUACAGAUAUUAGAACUGAGGUUCGUAGGCUUAAGGAUUAUUAAAAUUUGAAAUCGGUUUUCCCUACUUUAAAGCAUGUGCUUAUUCUGAUAUUCAGGCUGAGUAGAAUUUUCUGUGUAUUAGUUUACCGUGGAUUUUUCCUUGUUUAGAAAAAUUGCCUAUCUAUUGACCUUUUCUUGCUUUUCCUCCUCAUGUAUUCAAGGGAAUUAUUCCACUGCCUGCGUCAAAUUUCCCGCUGGGGAGAAAAAGACCUUUGCUUAAUUAUUUCCCUUAUUUUGGUGGGAAAGAAAGGCUUUCUACAACACAGCAGAAUUCGGGACACUUCUCUUCAGGAAAUGAGUGUAGAGAGAACAGGCUGGACCAAAAAGAAAAUGUGACCUACAAAAGAUUGUUUUCAAGUCCCUUGAGAUUUCAUUCAAUUUAUCUUUCUUUCACUUAAGCUCUGGCCGGUUUGGUCAAAAGGAGCAAAUUUAGUAAUGAGCUCCACUUUCAAUUCUUCGGUCAUUUCUGUUUUGUGGAGCAUAAUGAUUUCUUGAGAAAAGGACAGCCUCCAUGCCAUGUUUCUUAAAAGAAGAAACCACAAACACACACGCAGACAUACACACACACGCACACACAAUUCCUAUUUUUACACUGUUAUCAAGGUAAAAUCAAAUAGUACACAGACCUUAUAAUGAAAAGCAAGGCUCUCUUCUCUAAAAAUCCUUACUUUCAGUCUCACUCCUGAGAGACAACUCAUUAUUUUUUAUCUCUUUCUUCUGAAAGAUUUCUCCACAU